GGAGAUGCUUGAUGGGACAAAGUUUCAGCUUCUCCAGCAUUCAGCAACUCACCUGCUCUCACUUCCCUGUAUUCCCAGAUCCCACCCUGAAUAGCUGCUCUCCUGCAGCUAGAGCCAGGCUUUGAGAGAGUGGAAAGAAAGAUGAUAAGCACCACCAGUGUCAGCAGUUUCUUCUAAAGCACAGCAGAAGUCUGCAGAAGCAGUUGGAUCCCCUUUCAGCGAUAAAAGAGAAUGAGAAGGAAAAGAGAAUGGAAUGAGCAUACACCUGCCACGAACAAAGACAGAUACUCCUUCCGAAAGAAGUGCACGGAAAAAGAGAAUCACUGUCUCGAGCCAAUGUGUGCUCACUGCACCUCAGCUUAAUGCAGGAAUGUAAAAAGGACCUGGCUGCUUGGAUCAGGCCAAAGACCUACAAAGUCCAGUUCAGCAUCGUGUUUCCCACUGUGCCUCAAGAAGCUUAUCAUUGCUACCUUUUUGAAGGAUCAAAUUCCAGAGUUUUAACUAGGCGCUGUGUGAAGUUUCGUUGGAUGACCCCACGGUAUUAAGAGAUGAUAGUACAUAUUCUGAGAGAGGGAGAAAAGCCUCUCUCUAGUCACUUUCCCAUCUUUUUAUACACAUCUGCCAUGACCUGUUUUUUUCUGAACUAAGUAGCAGCAAAUAUGUUUUCACCAUUUCUCCUAGGAUAUUCAAUCCAGAUCUUAUCUGGGAGGAAGAGGGAGUCUUCCCCCUCCAUCAGGAUCUUUCUGUCCCUGUCCCCACUUUCAAGUUUCCUACAUCCAGAUAAAGUUUGAGAGAGAAACGGAUUGCUCUUGCCACCACAAGCUACUUUAAUGUCCAGCUCUCUGGGCAUCGGGUGGACCCUCCUGUUGCCACCUCAGUGGAAACACCUCAAAGUGACAUCUCUUUACAAACAUUGGGUGAAGAGCUACUCUCAAAGACCCCUUUAUUAUUUUAUUUGACUUCCCUAAAAAUGCAGUGGGUCUUUUUCGCUUUAACCACCACCACCACCACCACCACUACCACCUGAAUAAUUUACCAUGGCUGGACAUGAGGGAAUUUGCAGUGGAAAAACCUUCAGCUAUGCUAAACCAAAAUAUUAUUUACCAUUUACUUGGUAAUGCUGAUCUCCGCCUUCUAAGGAAAAAAAAUAUUGAUUUAACAGGACUCAGCCGUUUGGGGGUUCUGCCAGUGCCACCUAAAUAUAGCUGAUGAAAAACAAAUGGAUCCUGUAAUGGGGGGGGGAGUGAAGAGGAUGGGGGGAGAAACAUACAGCAUUCCUCCAACUCUGUUUUAUCAAACUAGGUGGGGAGAGGCCUUUUUCAUCCAGAGAAGAGGCGUGCUGCAGCUCAGAUACACCUGACCCUUUGUUUAAAGGCAAGAAUUUGCUGCUCCCGCCCCCCAUCGUCUGAAACAUCACUGCACUUGAGCAGGAAGGUGGGUGUAAUUGCCUACAGACAGCGUGACCUGGAACUGCCAAGAACCUGGCUGGCUUCAUGCCUUUCCUGGCCUUCUCUACUUUGCCCAGUUUGAGAACAACAGGAUCCUGGAGAAAGAGGACCCUCUGCAGCUGCAUUCUGAGCGGGGUUAAGAGCCAGGAAUAGCCACACGCCCAUGAGAUUUUUAAUGGCACAGGUUUUCAUGCUCUAGAGCUUUGCCAAAACAAAUUUGUUAGUCUUUAAGGUGACAGAAGACUCUUUUGUUUUUGCUGCAACAGACUAACGCGGCUACCCUUCUGGAAGAAGUCCACGAGAUGGAGAGCAGCUUGAAUGUUGCCACUGUGAGCUGUUUACUCUGGAGAAACCCUGCGAGAGUUCAAAGCUCCAAGCUGAGGUGUGUUGCCAGGAUUGGCCAUAAGCAAGAAGGAUCCGAUAGCAGGGUCUGCCUUGCUGUUGUUUGCAGCUGUCACAUGAUGGGUCAACAUCUUCACUGAGCUAUUCGUGACUCCAAGGUCUCGCUCCUGGUCAGACACCACCAGCUCCAGAAACUUGGCUACACAAUCAAAAAGGAGGCUCGAGGGGCUGCACAGAUAAGAUGGGCUGGAUCAGCUUCAAAGAAAGGAUGCUCCUGCAGGUACCAGAACAGCAGGCAGCUACUAGGACAUUCUGCUGAAAAAAACAUUUCCUGCUUUCGCCAACAAAUCUGCAUGAACAACUAACCUAAUUACACUAGCAACCACGUUCCAAAUUCAAAUAAUCUUAUCCUUACCAACCCAUUCUAAGAUCACACGCAUACAUGUUUUUAAGUGAAUUCCAUCAUUCUGCAACCCUAACCCACUUGUUCAUAAUAAAGUUGUUCAGGUUUUGCUCUAGCUGCUUUUAACAACCAAAUAUGAACGUUGAACACUUAUCCUAUCACCUGCUAAAACAGUGACUAAAACAGAAAGCAGGCUCUGUUCACCUAGGGUAGCCAACCAUGUAAUCUGGAACGACAGUGAAAAAUGCAGAUGCUUUUUGUUGUAAUACCAUUAUCUAAAUCACUGUAUUUUCAGAGCUGGUUGUUGAUAAAUGAAAGUCACUUUUUAUCCUGCAUUGUUGAGUGGCACAGUAUAAGAGCUGCUACUGAUAGGUAAAUUUACAUGAUGUUACAGUCUUAAAAAGGGGUUCAUGCCAUCAUUGGCAAGGAUUCAAAAGACUAGCUCAUUUUAAGAGUGCAAAGGACUCUGUGCUUGUGUUUCUUGAACAGCACAUGCAAUGCAGCAAGCUGAUUUUGAAGCUGUUGGGUAUUUUUGCAGUGGAGCUGAGAAGAAGUUUGCAAU